AUUGAACGCUGGCGGCAGGCCUAACACAUGCAAGCCGAGCGGAUGAAGGGAGCUUGCUCCUGGAUUCAGCGGCGGACGGGUGAGUAAUGCCUAGGAAUCUGCCUGGUAGUGGGGGAUAACGUCCGGAAACGGGCGCUAAUACCGCAUACGUCCUGAGGGAGAAAGUGGGGGAUCUUCGGACCUCACGCUAUCAGAUGAGCCUAGGUCGGAUUAUCUAGUUGGUGGGGUAAAGGCCUACCAAGGCGACGAUCCGUAACUGGUCUGAGAGGAUGAUCAGUCACACGGGAACUGAGACACGGUCCGGACUCCUAAGGGAGGCAGAAGUGGGGAAUAUUGGACAAUGGGCGAAAGCCUGAACCAGACAGGCCGCGUGUGUGAAGAAGGUCUUCGGAUUGUAAAGCACUUUAAGUUGGGAGGAAGGGCAGUAAGUUAAUACCUUGCUGGGUUGACGUUACCAACAGAAUAAGCACCGGAUAACUUCGUG
rnacentral:rRNA from 1 species